ACACAGGGGUUAUGUUCCUCCUGAAUAUGCUUUUAGAGGCAUAUACUCUAUCAAAUCUGAUGUUUAUAGUUUUGGGAUUCUUUUUUUACAAAUCAUAAGUGGCAAAAGGAUUUCCCUUCUAUAUGGUCCAGAUGAAAGUUUGAGUCUUGCAGACUAUGCAUACGAGUUGUGGAAUCAUGGUAAAGCCAUGGAAUUCAUGGAUGAAUCACUAGACGAUACAUCUUUGUCAUGCAAAUUAACGAGAUGUUUGCAUAUAGCUUUGUUAUGUGUCCAAGAAAAUCCAACGGAUAGGCCAUCCAUGCUGCAAGUUUUCUCUAUGCUCAAAACUGAAAAUUCAAUUAUGAUGAUUCCAAAGAAGCCCGCUUUCUCAAAACAAAAUAAAUCUACAAUAGUAAAUUUGGAAGGUUAUUCAGGGAGUGCUUCAACAAUUAAUGAUGUAACAAUUUCAGAUAUUUCAGUUAGAUGAAUUACAAAUAUCAUUGUGUUUUCAACUGGUAAGUUGGACAUGAUC